UGCCAGCCGCCGCGGUAAUACGGAGGGUGCGAGCGUUAAUCGGAAUCACUGGGCGUAAAGCGUACGUAGGUGGCAAGGUCAGUCAGGCGUGAAAGCCCUCGGCUCAACCGAGGAAUUGCGUUUGAUACUACUUUGCUAGAGUCUCGGAGAGGUUGGCGGAAUUCCAGGUGUAGGAGUGAAAUCCGUAGAUAUCUGGAGGAAUACCCGUGGCGAAGGCGGCCUGCUGGGCCUGAUCUGACGCUCAGACGCGAAAGCAUGGGGAGCGAACGGGAUUAGAUA
rnacentral:rRNA from 1 species